rnacentral:RNase_P_RNA from 1 species
UGGGUCGGCAAGACGGUCGCGUCGCAGGAGCCUCCGGGCGCCUGUGCCGAGGAACGUCCGGGCUCCACAGAGCAGGGCGGUGGGUAACACCCACCCGGGGCAACCCGCGAGAAAGUGCAACAGAGAGCAGACCGCCACGGUUCCGUCGCGAGACGGGCCGGGGUAAGGGUGAAACGGCGGUGUAAGAGACCACCAGCGGUUCGGGUGACCGGCCGGCUAUGUAAACCUCGCCCGGAGCAAGGUCAGACAGGGAACGUUCGAGGCGGCUCGCCGAGUUCCCGGGUAGACCGCUAGAGCGCUGCGGCAACGCAGCGCCGAGAGAGAUGGCCGUCCACGGCGGCGUGCGUGCACGUCGCCCGGACAGAACCCGGCGUAGCAGCCGGCCCAUUCG